UCAUCAUCUACACCGACGGUGCU
rnacentral:siRNA from 1 species